rnacentral:lncRNA from 1 species
AAAAAACAAAAACAAAACCUUUAUGUACUAGUUAAAGCCAGGAACUAUCUGGCCUCUUCAAUGGCCAAAGAGCUAUCUGGAAAAGAUUUAACUUAGAUCAGGGAAAAACUGUGAGGUCUACAAUAGUCAUAGCGCCCCAUGAACUUGAACUUAAGAAGGCUAUCUUUUGAGUAUAAGAACUCCAUUAUCUCAAAGUAACAUUUUUAUUGACUUCUCCAUGUAAAUUCACUGAGUAAUCACUUCUCACAAGUCUGACCCAAGAUAACACAUUAAGUGCAGAGUUCAACAAAUAGAUGAGAAAAGCUACUCCCCAAAUUAUAAGUUGGCAAAGAAAAAAGACUUGGCAGGCAUCAGUUUUGGAAAACUGAUUUCUUAUGGAAAAAUGUCAACAGAGAUUUUACUCAAGCCAUCAAAUGUGUCCCUACUUGAUAGGACCUGGAGAGCUUAUUAUAUUUCUGUUUUCUGACUUAUCUAAACAGAACUAAAUAUUUUCAAUGUCAAUAAUGUUUAUUUUUAUAAAUAGGCCUUUGAUGUUUGAUGAUUGAAAUAUACAAAUGAUUUUAUAUGCAGUCGAGCCCGAUUUGACACAUCUGGGAAAAUAAUGCUUAACUUCUGAGGGAGUUACAGUGGUGGUGGCAGAAGGCUAUGAUUUGGUUGUGUGCGUAUAAGAGUGUAUAGUGUACAUACAUGUGCACACACAAACACACAACUUGGCUGUUUGGAAAACACUUCUUUUCCUCUUAGUUCAUUACUGCUGAGAGUCAGAGACACUGCAAUCUCAUAUAUCCAGUGUCAAUUCCAGUGACUUCCAAUGGUCUCAGCAUUAAAAUUUAGACACUGAUAAAAGACUUAAAGAGAUGCUUAGUUUUUAAAUUGAUAUUUCUAAAUCAGAUUUGAGGAAAUCACAUUUUUGUUUGUUUCAACAUGAGAAAAUCCACAAUUUUAUUGUUUGCAAAGUUUUGGCUCUUUGCAAAUACCCACUUUCUCCAAUUAUAAAGAGAAAAUACGGAAUGCUUCAUGAAUUUGCAUGUCAACAUCGCACGAGAGCCAUGUUAAUCUUCUCUGUAUCAUUCUAAUUUUAGUGCCUGUGCUGCCCAAGCAAGCACAGAAGUCGCAUGUUUUAAACCUUGCAGUAUCUCCUUUCUCUUUAAACUUUUCAUCGAGGUAGACAAAACACAUACUUUGGAAGCAGAGAUGCUGAUGCUAAUGUUUAAUAGGCUCAACAAAUCACCUUUCAGAACCUCUUCCCUUCUCUUCCUCUCACUAGACAAUCAACCACAGCAGAGUUCUGUUAACAAGGCAAAAGACGAUACAGAAACAAAAUUGCUAAUAGGAUGUACCCAAGGAAAUCCCAAAGGACAUAUCCUAAAGUGGACCAUUCCACUAACUGGCAAAUCGCUUGUAUCUUUAAUACAUAUCUUAGAAGGGAGUAUUGAACAUCAAUCUGAACAUUGAUCGUAUAUCUAAUAUCUUACAUAUUUGAAGAAUUAUGCCAGAAACUGUGGAGGACAGACACAUGGGAGCAUACACAAGAAGGCAAGAUAUGACUUCUAUCCUUUGGGGAUUGGUGAUUGGCUUGAAGAGAUAAAGUUCAUGAAAACCACAAGAUGACUAUAAAGAUCCAACAAUCCAGAGUUGUCAGGAAAGGCUUCUUAGAAAAUCUUAGAUUUGGACUAAUGUUUGGAUGGGAAAUGUAUUAUUUUGCUCUUAAAAAAAUAAAAGAAAAGCUAUACCAUAGAUUGGGUGAUUGAAAAAACAGGAUUUUAUUAUUUUUAAUUUAAUUCAUUUUUUAUUAAAAUAGAGUUGAUUUAAAGUGUUAUGUUAAUUUCUGCAGCACAGCAUAGUGCCCCGGUCAUACUCAUAUGUAUACAUAUAUAUAUACACACACAUAAAUAUAUAUACAUACAUAUAUAUAUACACAUGUACAUGUAUAUGCUUUCUUUUUCUCAUACAAUCUUCCAUCAUGGAGGCAAUUAGAGAUUCUCAUACUAAGUGAAGUAAUUCAGAGAAAGAAAGAUAAAUACCAUAUGAUAUCACUUAUACACGGAAUCUAGAAUUUGGCACAAAGGAACCUAUCUACAAACCAGAAACAGACAAACAGACAUGAAGAAUAGACUUGUGAUUGCCAAGUGGGGAGGGCCUAGGAAAUGACAUGGACUGGGAGUUUGGGGUUGUUAGAUGCGAAGUAUGACAUUUAGAAUGGCUAAGCAAGAGGUCCUAUUCUACAGCACAGAAAUUUAGUUUCUCACAGUGGUGGAGGCUAGAAAUCCAAGGUCAAGGUGUUGGCAGCAGGGUUGGUUCCUUCUGUGACCCUCUCUGCUUGGCUAUUUUCUUGUGUCUUCACCUGUGUCGUCCCCUUGAACCUCUAGGUGUCCAAAUCCCCUCUUCUUAUAUAAAGACAUCAGUCACAGCAGAUUAGGCUCCACUCUAGUGAAAGACCCUAUUUCCAAAUACUGUCACAUUCUGAGGGAGUUGGGGUUAGGAUUUCAACAAAUAAAUUAUGGGGGAGGUAGGCAACACAGCCCCUAAUGGGAAGAAAAGUCAGAAAGUCAGAAGGAAUUUGUGCCACAACCAAGUAUACAAUUUUGGAAAAAAUACAGUAAAAUAAAGAUGUAUUGGUUUUUAUUUAGCAUAUAGAGUUUUAUUGCGGUUAUUGGCAUAGAUGAUCCAUUACCAGUCACAUAAAAGUUUUUUUUCUCUUUACAUGGACCAAUCCAAAGAGCUUCAAAUUUUUUUUGUUAUACGAAGUAAACAAAUCUUCCUUAAGUGUGUAAAUAUUGCCUACUACAAAACUGCUACACAUUUUUUUUUUUUUUUUGCAGGGAGGAAAUUAGUUUUUAGAGCUAUAAAUGACUUCAUUGAUUGAAGGAUCCUUUUAUUCACUCACUCAGCCAACAUUGUUAUUAAAUAUCUACUUGUGUCUUAGCAAUGUUCUCUAUUAAGAGAAUUAAAAUACAACUCAAAUGUGAUCUUUGACUACUCUGCAGAUGUUGAUAAUGGUAUCCAGAAUACACAGGCAAGGCUAGGUUGCUAGUUCUAGCAACCACUUCUGCAAUCUCAAGCUCACAGCUUGCCUUGCUCCCUGUGUCAUGCUGUCUCCAUGAUACUUGAACUGAAAAGCCAUGAGUAACUAAAGUUGAGCUGCAGGUACAAUCCAUUAGGCUAAUGCCAGUCCAAUCACUAAAAAGAACCCAGUAAAUCGUGGAUAUACACAGAUGAUAACAACACUAAAUUUUUAUUCUAUGUUGUCUAUGGCCGAAUCUAAUAUUGUCUAUUUUAUAUCCAUCAUUUGAAUUAUUUCUCAAAACGAUCUUGUGUGUUAGGUACAAUUAUCAUUGACAUAUUUAUAGACAAGAAACGUGAGGCUUAUAGAGUUUAGGAAAAAUACUGAGGGUCAGAGUAGCGGAUACCAUGCAUCAGGUUUUCUAUUAUCCAAUGGAACAGAAGGCACAUAUAAAGUCAUAUUUUCAUAUCUUUAUAAAGUCAUAUUUUCUCGUUUUCUCAAUCAAAACAAAACUGGGGGGGCAGGGAGAGAAGUGCCAUUAAUUUGUGGUUGAUCAUUGUAUUUUCAUGCACAUAUUAAAGCCUCAGCCGUCUCUGAUGUACAGGAUUCAUUAUUCUAUUUUUUUUUUUUUUUUUUUUUUUUUUUUUUUUUUUUUUUUUUUUUUUGUCUUUUGCUAUUUCUUUGGGCUGCUCCUGUGGCAUAUGGAGAAAUGGCAAAGAGACAAAAAAAUAAAACAAAGUAAAAUACAUAUAUAUGUGUAUCUAUUUUCCUAAUAGAUAUAAAAGGCGACGAGAGGAAAAAAUGAGAAUUUCCAGAUGGUGUGGGAAAUCUUCAACUGUCCGAGUGUAGCAAACGAGGCUGUUCCAAUUUUCGAUCUAUUUACUAGACUUACUAUCUACAUAAACAGGCUGUGUGCUUAACCUUUUCCUAGAGCCUUUCAACUCUGCCAAGCACAACUCAAAGUCUGUCUAGCCAGACUUAAAAAGUCAUUUGAAGUAAAUGGAUUCUUGGUGAUAAAAUGAUGAUAACUUUUAAAAGUAGGUUUCUUUUCUCUGGCUAGAAGUAUGGUUUUACAUCUCCUUUUAAGUCCAGUGAAUUUUUCUCGUAUAACAAGGAAACUUCCCCAAAUUAGGCCUGACUUAUGUGGUCCUUCUACCUCUGUUCCUUUCCUAUAAGUGGUGCCAAUAGUCUACCCUGGGUCCUGGGCUCUUCGUUUCUCUUCUUAUGAUUUUUAUUUCCGAGGCUUUUGAGGAACAAUUGUUUUAAAAUAACUUCGAAUAUUAUUCCUUUAAAAAUUACAUUGCCAAAGUGACUCCAUAGGGGCAGGAAGUACUUUGAAAAAAUCGAAGUCUUAUCUAAAGGAUAUCUUGAAAGUAUUUUCUUAAAAACCUCCACUGACCCCUCAUUUAAUAUCUUUAUUCAGCAUCUGACUCCCCUUCCUUUGGUCAUGGGAAAGGCAUGGAGACAAAAUUCAACAGGGCUCAGAAUCCAAGUAGAGCAAGCAGGGUCACUGAACGGAACGUUUUCCAUUUAACCACCAACAUAAACUCCAAGGCAGGGCUGGUACAACGAAUGGGCCACAUGCAGCUGGUCCCAAUUGCUCACUCCUAUCUCCAAUGAACUGGGACCACUCGGCACCGACCCCAGGCCCUCCAAUACUGUAGAAAUAUUUGAAAAGAAAUGACGUAGUUCUUGUGGGAACCCUCCACCCCACGGCCCCUGUGACUGGGAGCAUAUCGGUGGACCACGUGUCCUCUGCCCCUUUUGCCUGAGUUGGUGAGGCUGAUGUGGCUCAGAGCAAGAAGGGGGAGGCAGUUUGAAUUUGAACUGGAAGUACCAUUGCCCUCUAAAAUGGAUCCGCACCUGGAAAGCCACACAGAGAAUGCAGCUGGAGAGACACCGGAGUAGAAAAAGAGGCAGAGGGAAGAUGAGAUGGACAGAUAGAUGGAUAGACAAAUAGACCAGUGGAUGAGAUGAGAAGGCUGUCUGCUACAGGAAGAAGCACCCAUCCUGAAAACACGGAGCCAUGGCUGUGGGUGAGCAUUUGCGUGAGGAUGCGUGGAUGCUCUGGCUGUGGUCCCCAAGGCAUCCUGAAGUUCCUCGGAGGCCUGCCUCUACUCUCCCUUCUCCUCAUGUGUUCCCUGCACGCCAGCUGUUCUCUCAGCACAGUUCCAUUGCACACACUAUUUUGUUUUUCUGAAAUGCUCUUUUUCCCCCAGGUCUCCACAGGCCGGCCCCAAGCUCCUUCAGGUACUUAUUCAAAGAGCAUCGGCCAAGCAGGCCUCCCCUGGCAACACUUUCAUGCACCUCUGUUCCCAACUCAAACUUCUCUACUUUUAUCUCUUCCCCAGCAACUCUCACCGCCUUAUAUUUUACAGAGUUCACCUGUUCUCUUAUUUUUUGGGUCUAAUUCCCAAGCCACACUGUGAGCUCCUGAAGGCAUCGACUCUGAUCUAUUUCAUUCCCAGCCAUAUUUCCAGCUCCUCCCCCACUGGAGGCAUCUUCUAUUUUCCAAACUAAUAAAUACCUUUAAAGGGAACAUAGCAUGGACUGUUCAUAGUUAUUCAUUUAUUAGCAUGGGCCUGAGAGAAUAAAAACGGGUGUCCCAACACACUCCUGCCUAUGUGGGUGCAGGUUCACAGGGUCAGCUUCAAGGGUGUUGACCUGGAAGGUAGCAGGAGGUCCCACACUCACAGAAUUGCUGUGCUUGGUUUAAUGUUCAAUUGUUAGUGUUCAAAUGAUGAAAUUCUUCAUCAUUUUUCACAAGCCCUCUCCCUCACUUUUAUUUUCCCCUCAGCCUCACGAAUUAGGGGGCCAGUCCUGCAUCUAUGUGAGAAUCACAGCUGGGGUUCAAACCCUAAAUGUUACUUAGCGUCCUCUUUGCAUGAAUCAUAGAAAUGUAUACGGAAAGCAAUCCAUAUUCUUUUUUUUUUUUUUUUUUUUUUUUUUUUUUUUGUCUUUUUGCCUUUUUCUAGGGCCGCAGGUGCGGCAUCUGGAGGUUCCCAAGCUAGGGGUCGAAUCAGAGCUGUAGCCGCUGGCCUACACCAGAGCCACAGCAACGCGGGAUCCGAGCCACAUCUGCAACCUACACCACAGCUCACCAACGCCGGAUCCUUGAUCCACUGAGCGAGGCCAGGGAUCGAACCCGCAACCUCAUGGUUCCUAGUCGGAUUCAUUAACCACUGCACCACGACGAGAACUCCA